rnacentral:piRNA from 1 species
UGUACAGAGUGAAGCAUCCGAGCAUC